rnacentral:misc_RNA from 1 species
GAUGAAGAACGUAGCGAAAUGCGAUAAGUAAUGUGAAUUGCAGAAUUCAGUGAAUCAUCGAAUCUUUGAACGCACCUUGCACCCUUUGGCAUUCCGAAGGGUAUGCUCGUUUGAGUGUCAUUGUACUCUCACACUCCCAAUUGCUUUGGAUUGGGAGCGGUGGACUUGGGUGUUGCUGCUUGACUGAGGCUCACCUGAAAUAUGUUAGUACACCUCUUGAUUGGACAUAGUACGGCGUGAUAAGUGUCUUCGCCGGCUCCUCGCAAAGAGGGUGGCCGAUCGGGAGCUCUGUUGCUUCAAACUGUCUUCGGACAAUCUUCUGGCGACUUGACCUCAAAUCGAGUAGGACUACCCGCUGAACUUAAGCAUAUCAAUAAGCGGAGGA